rnacentral:rRNA from 1 species
UGGGGAAUAUUGGACAAUGGGCGAAAGCCUGAUCCAGCAAUGCCGCGUGAGUGAAGAAGGCCUUCGGGUUGUAAAGCUCUUUUACCCGGGAAGAUAAUGACUGUACCGGGAGAAUAAGCACCGGCUAACUUCGUGCCAGCAGCCGCGGUAAUACGAAGGGUGCAAGCGUUACUCGGAAUUACUGGGCGUAAAGCGUGCGUAGGUGGUGGUUUAAGUCUGCUGUGAAAGCCCUGGGCUCAACCUGGGAAUUGCAGUGGAUACUGGAUCACUAGAGUGUGGUAGAGGGAUGCGGAAUUUCUGGUGUAGCAGUGAAAUGCGUAGAGAUGUGGAGGAACACCGAUGGCGAAGGCAGCCCCCUGGGAUAACACUGACGCUCAUGCACGAAAGCGUGGGGAGCAAACA